AACGCGAAGAACCUUACCAUCCUUUGACAUGGCGUGUUACCCAGAGAGAUUUGGGGUCCUCUUCGGRGGCGCGCACACAGGUGCUGCAUGGCUGUCGUCAGCUCGUGUCGUGAGAUGUUGGGUUAAGUCCCGCAACGAGCGCAACCCACGUCCUUAGUUGCCAUCAUUCAGUUGGGCACUCUAGGGAGACUGCCGGUGAUAAGCCGCGAGGAAGGUGUGGAUGACGUCAAGUCCUCAUGGCCCUUACGGGAUGGGCUACACACGUGCUACAAUGGCGGUGACAGUGGGACGCGAAGGAGCGAUCUGGAGCAAAUCCCCAAAAGCCGUCUCAGUUCGGAUUGCACUCUGCAACUCGAGUGCAUGAAGGCGGAAUCGCUAGUAAUCGUGGAUCAGCAUGCCACGGUGAAUACGUUCCCGGGCCUUGUACACACCG
rnacentral:rRNA from 1 species